CCUUCGAUAGCUCAGUUGGUAGAGCGGUGGACUGUAGAAGCAAAGAGAGUUGGUGAUAGUAGAAAUCCAUAGGUCACUGGUUCAAAUCCGGUUCGAAGGA
rnacentral:tRNA from 1 species